rnacentral:tRNA from 1 species
AGCGCCGUGAACUGCUGAAACGCGUGAGACGCAAGCGGCCUCCGGAGCCGUGUGCGCAGGUUCGAAUCCUGCCGGGGGUACCA